rnacentral:rRNA from 1 species
UACGUAGGGGGCAAGCGUUAUCCGGAUUUACUGGGUGUAAAGGGAGCGUAGACGGCCAGACAAGUCUGAAGUGAAAAUCCAGCGCUUAACGUUGGAAGUGCUUUGGAAACUGCCGGGCUAGAGUGCAGGAGGGGCAGGCGGAAUUCCUAGUGUAGCGGUGAAAUGCGUAGAUAUUAGGAGGAACACCAGUGGCGAAGGCAGCCUGCUGGACUGCAACUGACGUUGAGGCUCGAAGGCGUGGGGAGCAAACAGG